rnacentral:rRNA from 1 species
UACGUAGGGGGCAAGCGUUGUCCGGAAUCAUUGGGCGUAAAGCGCGUGUAGGCGGCCCGGUAAGUCCGCUGUGAAAGUCCAGGGCUCAACCCUGGGAUGCCGGUGGAUACUGUCGGGCUCGAGUCCGGAAGAGGAGUGUGGAAUUCCUGGUGUAGCGGUGAAAUGCGCAGAUAUCAGGAGGAACACCAAUGGCGAAGGCAGCACUCUGGGACGUGACUGACGCUGAGACGCGAAAGCGUGGGGAGCAAACAGG